UACAGAGGGUGCGAGCGUUAAUCGGAAUUACUGGGCGUAAAGCGCGCGUAGGCGGCUUUGCAAGUCGGGUGUGAAAUCCCCAGGCUUAACCUGGGAACUGCAUUCGAGACUGCAUUGCUAGAGUAUGGGAGAGGGAAGUGGAAUUUCCGGUGUAGCGGUGAAAUGCGUAGAUAUCGUAAGGAAGGCCGGUGGCGAAAGCGAGCCUCUGGACAGUUACUGACGCUGAGGCUCGAAGGCUAGGGUAGCGAAAGGG
rnacentral:rRNA from 1 species